CUAGUAUCGCAUCGUGCUUUUUUAUCGACGCGNACCACAGCUCCAUUGUGAAAGUUUAACUGAUGCGAUACAUCAACUCGACUNCACAGAUCAGAAGAUUUCGUGUGUUCGGCGGCGCGGCCCGGUGAGAAGCCCCCCGCGGCCCUGAAGGCGGCCCGCCCGAAGCAAAUUAAGGUACCGUAAAACCACGGUGGGAGGUUGGGCCCGCCUGGGACCCCUACCCCUCGNNANUNUUUUUCUUNGGGGGGGGGGGGGUCGGAAGGAUCAUUACCGAGUGUAGGGUUCCUAGCGAGCCCAACCUCCCACCCGUGUUUACUGUACCUUAGUUGCUACGGCGGGCCCGCCAUUCAUGGCCGCCGGGGGCUCUCAGCCCCGGGCCCGCGCCCGCCGGAGACACCACGAACUCUGUCUGAUCUAGUGAAGUCUGAGUUGAUUGUAUCGCAAUCAGUUAAAACUUUCAACAAUGGAUCUCUUGGUUCCGGCAUCGAUGAAGAACGCAGCGAAAUGCGAUAACUAGUGUGAAUUGCAGAAUUCCGUGAAUCAUCGAGUCUUUGAACGCACAUUGCGCCCCCUGGUAUUCCGGGGGGCAUGCCUGUCCGAGCGUCAUUGCUGCCCAUCAAGCACGGCUUGUGUGUUGGGUCGUCGUCCCCUCUCCGGGGGGGACGGGCCCCAAAGGCAGCGGCGGCACCGCGUCCGAUCCUCGAGCGUAUGGGGCUUUGUCACCCGCUCUGUAGGCCCGGCCGGCGCUUGCCGAACGCAAAUCAAUCUUUUUCCAGGUUGACCUCGGAUCAGGUAGGGAUACCCGCUGAACUUAAGCAUAUCUANNCGGGGGGGAGAAAAAUCAUUACCGAGUGUAGGGUUCCUAGCGAGCCCAACCUCCACCGUGUUUACUGUACCUUAGUUGCUUCGGCGGGCCGCCAUUCAGGGGCCGCGGGGGGCUACUCACGGGCCGCGCCCGCGGAGACACACGAACUCUGUCUGAUCUAGUGAAGUCUGAGUUGAUUGUAUCGCAUCAGUUAAAACUUUCACAAUGGAUCUCUGGUUCGGCAUCGAUAAGAACGCAGCGAAUGCGAUAACUAGUGUGAAUUGCAGAAAUUCGUGAAUCAUCGAGUCUUUGAACGCCCAUUGCGCCCUGGGUUAUUCGGGGGCAUGCUGNCGAGCGUCAUUU
rnacentral:rRNA from 1 species